rnacentral:rRNA from 1 species
GCAUAUCAAUAAGCGGAGGAAAAGAAACCAACAGGGAUUGCCCUAGUAACGGCGAGUGAAGCGGCAACAGCUCAAAUUUGAAAUCUGGCGUCUUCGGCGUCCGAGUUGUAAUUUGCAGAGGGCGCUUUGGCAUUGGCAGCGGUCCAAGUUCCUUGGAACAGGACGUCACAGAGGGUGAGAAUCCCGUACGUGGUCGCUAGCCUUUACCGUGUAAAGCCCCUUCGACGAGUCGAGUUGUUUGGGAAUGCAGCUCUAAAUGGGAGGUAAAUUUCUUCUAAAGCUAAAUACUGGCCAGAGACCGAUAGCGCACAAGUAGAGUGAUCGAAAGAUGAAAAGCACUUUGGAAAGAGAGUUAAAAAGCACGUGAAAUUGUUGAAAGGGAAGCGCUUGCAGCCAGACUUGCCUGUAGUUGCUCAUCCGGGUUUCUACCCGGUGCACUCUUCUAUAGGCAGGCCAGCAUCAGUUUGGGCGGUUGGAUAAAGGUCUCUGUCAUGUACCUCCUCUCGGGGAGAACUUAUAGGGGAGACGACAUGCAACCAGCCCGGACUGAGGUCCGCGCAUCUGCUAGGAUGCUGGCGUAAUGGCUGUAAGCGGCCCGUCUUGAAACACGGACCAAGGAGUCUAACAUCUAUGCGAGUGUUUGGGUGUCAAGCCCGAACGCGUAAUGAAAGUGAACGGAGGUGGGAACCUUUCGGGGUGCACCAUCGACCGAUCCUGAUGUCUUCGGAUGGAUUUGAGUAAGAGCAUAGCUGUUGGGACCCGAAAGAUGGUGAACUAUGCUUGAAUAGGGUGAAGCCAGAGGAAACUCUGGUGGAGGCUCGCAGCGGUUCUGACGUGCAAAUCGAUCGUCAAAUUUGGGCAUAGGGGCGAAAGACUAAUCGAACUAUCUAGUAGCUGGUUCCUGCGA